rnacentral:rRNA from 1 species
GACGGUCCUACGGAUUGUAAACCUCUUUAGGCGGGGAGUAAUGUGCUCUACGAGUAGAGUAGUGAGAGUACCCGCAGAAUAAGCAUCGGCUAACUCCGUGCCAGCAGCCGCGGUAAUACGGAGGAUGCGAGCGUUAUCCGGAUUUAUUGGGUUUAAAGGGUGCGCAGGCUGUGCAUCAAGUCAGCGGUAAAAUCUCGGGGCUCAACCCCGUUUAGCCGUUGAAACUGGUGUGCUGGAGUGUGCGCGAGGAAGGCGGAAUGCGCGGUGUAGCGGUGAAAUGCAUAGAUAUUGCGCAGAACUCCGAUUGCGAAGGCAGCCUUCCAGUGCAUGACUGACGCUGAGGCACGAAAGCGUGGGUAUCGAACAGGAUUAGAUACCCUGGUAGUCCACGCAGUAAACGAUGAAUACUAUCUUUCCGUCGCGCCUGAGCGGGGGGAGGACAAGCGAAAGCGUUAAGUAUUCCACCUGGGGAGUACGCCGGCAACGGUGAAACUCAAAGGAAUUGACGGGGGCCCGCACAAG